rnacentral:rRNA from 1 species
AGGGCGUAUGGUGGAUGCCUUGGCAGACAGUACCGAUGAAGGACGUUUGAGGAUGCGAUAAUCCUAGGGGAGCCUCCAACAUGGCUUUGAUCCUAGGGUCUCCGAAUGGGGGAACCCGCCGGCCGUCAUGGGCCGGCACCGCCUAUGGGCGGGGGGUACGCAGGGAAGUGAAACAUCUCAGUACCUGCAGGAAGGGAUACUCCGUGAGUAGUGGCGAGCGAAAGCGGAUCAGACCAAACCGGUUGCGCGUGAUACCCGUCGGGGGUUGCGUUGCCGGUGUUGUGGGAUCACGUGUCCCGGUUCCGACGGGCCGGGCGGGAGUCAUAAAACGGCUUGCCAGGGGAACAGGCUUGAAGGCCUGGCCGUAGAGGGUGCCAGCCCCGUACCUGGACGUGAGCCGUCUUCCGAUCGUGUUGUCCCAAGUAGCGCGGGCCUCGUGGAAUCCCGCGUGAAUCAGCCCAGACCGUUGGGUAAGUCUAAGCAUACCUGUCUGACCGAUAGCGUACCAGUACCGUGAGGGAAAGGUGAAAAGCACCCCGGGAGGGGAGUGAAACAGUUCCUGAAACCGUGCGCCCACAAACCGUCGGAGCCUCUGUGUGGGGUGACGGCGUGCCUAUCGAAAAAUGAGUCUGCGAGUCAGUGGCAUGUGGCGAGCAUAACCCGUGUGGGGUAUGCGUAGCGAAGGCGAGUCUUAAAAGGCGUUUGAGUCGCGUGUCCUGGACCCGAAGCGGGAUGAUCUAGCCCUGGGCAGGUUGAAGCGCGGGUAAGACCGCGUGGAGGACCGAACCCACCUGGGUUGAAAACCGGGGGGAUGACUUGGGGCUAGGGGUGAAAGGCCAAUCAAAUUCCGUGAUAGCUGGUUCUCUCCGAAAUGCAUUUAGGUGCAGCGUCGGUCGAUUGCGUCGCGGGGGUAGAGCUACCGGAUGCUUGCGGGCCCUUGUUGGGUACCAACAGCAGCCGAACUCCGAAUACCGUUGACGUGUAUUCCGGCAGUGAGUCGGCGGGGGAUAAGCUCCGUCGUCGAGAGGGAGACAGCCCAGACCGUCGUCUAAGGUCCCGAAGCGUGUGCUAAGUGGGAAAGGAUGUGGAGUCGCAUAGACAGCCAGGAGGUUGGCUCAGAAGCAGCCAUCCUUGAAAGAGUGCGUAACAGCUCACUGGUCUAGUGGUUCCGCGCCGACAAUGUAGCGGGGCUCAAGCACACCACCGAAGCCGCGGCAGCAAUCUUCAUGGUUGCUGGGUAGGAGAGCGUCCUGCGAGGGGCGAAGCGGCGGUGGAAACCGGCCGUGGACUUCGUGGGAGUGAGAAUGCAGACAUGAGUAGCGAGAGACGGGUGAAGAUCCCGUCCGCUGGAUGACCAAGGGUUCCAGGGCCACGUUCAUCGUCCCUGGGUGAGUCGGGUCCUAAGGCGAGGCCGACAGGCGUAGUCGAAUGGAUGAACGGGUCGAUAUUCCCGUACCGGCUUUCAGCCGCCAAAACCGAGGCUUGGAGUACUAACCUCCGGGUCCGGGCUUACUGCUCCUUCGGGGGCGGGAUGCCCUGGCCUGUUGGGACCGAUCCUUGUAGUAGGUCAGCGCAGGAGUGACGCAGAAGGGUAGCCGGCCGCGGAGGUGGUCUUCCGUGGUCAAGCACGCAGGGCGUGGGACAGGCAAAUCCGUCCCGCAUGGGUCCGAGGUGCGAUGAUGGGGGCCUUAUGGCCCGAUAUCCGGUGAUCCCGGCUGCCGAGAAAAGCUUCGGCGUCAGGCUCGAAGCCGCCCGUACCCCAAACCGACACUGGUGGUCAGGUAGAGAAUACCAAAGCGAUCGAGCGAAUCCUGGUCAAGGAACUCGGCAAAUCACUCCCGUUCCUUCGGUUUAAGGGAGACCCCCGAUGGUGAACACACUUGCUGUGGGAGCUUUUGGGGGUGGCACAGACCAGGGGGUAGCGACUGUUUACCAAAAACACAGGUGCAUGCGAAGGCGCAAGCCGCUGUAUAUGCACUGACGCCUGCCCGGUGCCGGAAGGUUAAGAGGAUCCGUCAGCCUUCGGGUGAAGCGGUGAAUUCAAGCCCCGGUAAACGGCGGUGGUAACUAUAACCAUCCUAAGGUAGCGAAAUUCCUUGUCGGGUAAGUUCCGACCUGCACGAAUGGCGUAAUGAUGGCCAGGCUGUCUCCACCCGAGACUCAGUGAAAUUGAACUCGCUGUGAAGAUGCAGUGUACCCGCGGCAAGACGGAAAGACCCCGUGAACCUUUACUAUAGCUUGACACUGAACAUUGAGCCUUGAUGUGUAGGAUAGGUGGGAGGCUUUGAAGUGUGGACGCCAGUCUGCAUGGAGCCGACCUUGAAAUACCACCCUUUAAUGUUUGAUGUUCUAACGUUGACCCGUAAUCCGGGUUGCGGACAGUGUCUGGUGGGUAGUUUGACUGGGGCGGUCUCCUCCUAAAGAGUAACGGAGGAGCACGAAGGUUGGCUAAUCCUGGUCGGACAUCAGGAGGUUAGUGCAAUGGCAUAAGCCAGCUUGACUGCGAGCGUGACGGCGCGAGCAGGUGCGAAAGCAGGUCAUAGUGAUCCGGUGGUUCUGAAUGGAAGGGCCAUCGCUCAACGGAUAAAAGGUACUCCGGGGAUAACAGGCUGAUACCGCCCAAGAGUUCAUAUCGACGGCGGUGUUUGGCACCUCGAUGUCGGCUCAUCACAUCCUGGGGCUGAAGUAGGUCCCAAGGGUAUGGCUGUUCGCCAUUUAAAGUGGUACGCGAGCUGGGUUUAGAACGUCGUGAGACAGUUCGGUCCCUAUCUGCCGUGGGCGCUGGAGAACUGAGGGGGGCUGCUCCUAGUACGAGAGGACCGGAGUGGACGCAUCACUGGUGUUCGGGUUGUCAUGCCAAUGGCACUGCCCGGUAGCUAAAUGCGGAAGAGAUAAGUGCUGAAAGCAUCUAAGCACGAAACUUGCCCCGAGAUGAGUUCUCCCUGACUCCUUGA